rnacentral:rRNA from 1 species
ACUGAACGCUGGCGGCAGGCUUAACACAUGCAAGUCGAGCGGAGAUGAGGUGCUUGCACCUUAUCUUAGCGGCGGACGGGUGAGUAAUGCUUAGGAAUCUGCCUAUUAGUGGGGGACAACAUUCCGAAAGGAAUGCUAAUACCGCAUACGCCCUACGGGGGUAAGCAGGGGAUCUUCGGACCUUGCGCUAAUAGAUGAGCCUAAGUCGGAUUAGCUAGUUGGUGGGGUAAAGGCCUACCAAGGCGACGAUCUGUAGCGGGUCUGAGAGGAUGAUCCGCCACACUGGGACUGAGACACGGCCCAGACUCCUACGGGAGGCAGCAGUGGGGAAUAUUGGACAAUGGGCGGAAGCCUGAUCCAGCCAUGCCGCGUGUGUGAAGAAGGCCUUUUGGUUGUAAAGCACUUUAAGCGAGGAGGAGGCUACCUGGAUUAAUACUCUAGGAUAGUGGACGUUACUCGCAGAAUAAGCACCGGCUAACUCUGUGCCAGCCGCCGCAGUAAGAC